rnacentral:rRNA from 1 species
GAUGAACGCUGGCGGCGUGCUUAACACAUGCAAGUCGAACGGAAAGGCCUCUGCUUGCAGGGGUACUCGAGUGGCGAACGGGUGAGUAACACGUGGGUGAUCUGCCCUGCACUUCGGGAUAAGCCUGGGAAACUGGGUCUAAUACCGGAUAGGACAAUGGUUUGGAUGCUGUUGUGGAAAGUUUUUCGGUGUGGGAUGAGCUCGCGGCCUAUCAGCUUGUUGGUGGGGUAAUGGCCUACCAAGGCGUCGACGGGUAGCCGGCCUGAGAGGGUGUACGGCCACAUUGGGACUGAGAUACGGCCCAGACUCCUACGGGAGGCAGCAGUGGGGAAUAUUGCACAAUGGGGGCAAGCCUGAUGCAGCGACGCCGCGUGGGGGAUGACGGCCUUCGGGUUGUAAACUCCUUUCGCUAGGGACGAAGCGUUUUUGUGACGGUACCUGGAGAAGAAGCACCGGCUAACUACGUG